UACGUAGGGUCCGAGCGUUAAUCGGAAUUACUGGGCGUAAAGCGUGCGCAGGCGGUUUUGUAAGCCAGAUGUGAAAUCCCCGGGCUUAACUUGGGAACUGCAUUUGGGACUGCAAGGCUGGAGUACGGCAGAGGGAGGUGGAAUUCCACGUGUAGCAGUGAAAUGCGUAGAGAUGUGGAGGAACACCGAUGGCGAAGGCAGCCUCCUGGGCUAGUACUGACGCUCAUGCACGAAAGCGUGGGGAGCAAAC
rnacentral:rRNA from 1 species